rnacentral:lncRNA from 1 species
UCUAGGUCAUUCUUGGAAAACCCCAGGUUUCAUCCUUCCUUACAGAAUAACAGGUCCUACAAGCAUAACAGCAGCUGAUUGAAUCGACAACAGUAUUUUUAGCCAAGCUUCGUUAAAGAUUCAACACAAAGCCAAACUGUGUUAGUCAUAACAUUGGAAUUUUCCAACACUUCAGAACUGCCAGAUACAGAGCACAGUAGCUGUCACAGGAGAGGAUCUUUGUGAUUAGAA